rnacentral:pre_miRNA from 1 species
AGUGGGAUUACUGGGUCAUAUGGUAAGUGCACAUUUAACUUUAUAUGAAACUGCCAAACCAUUUUCCCGAGUGGCUGUACCAUUUGCAUUCCCACCAGUGAU